GAUCAUGGCUCAGGAUGAACGCUGGCGGCGUGCUUAACACAUGCAAGUCGAACGAAGAUGCCGGAGUGCUUGCACUUUGGCAGACUGAGUGGCGGACGGGUGAGUAACGCGUGGGUAACCUGCCUUAUACAGGGGGAUAACAGUUGGAAACGACUGCUAAUACCGCAUAAGCGCACGGUAUCGCAUGAUACAGUGUAGAAAAACUCCGGUGGUAUAAGAUGGACCCGCGUCUGAUUAGCUUGUUGGUGAGGUAACGGCCCACCAAGGCGACGAUCAGUAGCCGGCCUGAGAGGGUGAACGGCCACAUUGGGACUGAGACACGGCCCAGACUCCUACGGGAGGCAGCAGUGGGGAAUAUUGCACAAUGGGGGAAACCCUGAUGCAGCGACGCCGCGUGAAGGAAGAAGUAUCUCGGUAUGUAAACUUCUAUCAGCAGGGAAGAUAGUGACGGUACCUGACUAAGAAGCCCCGGCUAACUACGUG
rnacentral:rRNA from 1 species